rnacentral:rRNA from 1 species
AGGGUUCGAUUAUGGCUCAGGAUGAACGCUAGCGACAGGCCUAACACAUGCAAGUCGAGGGGCAGCACAGUUGAAGCUUGCUUCAACGGGUGGCGACCGGCGCACGGGUGAGUAACGCGUAUGGAACCAACCCGCAACAGGGGGAUAACCCGGAGAAAUCCGGACUAAUACCGCAUAGUACAGGGGAUACACAAGUAUUUUCUGUUAAAGAGCAAUCGGUUGCGGACGGUCAUGCGUUCCAUUAGCUAGUUGGGGGGGUAACGGCCCACCAAGGCGACGAUGGAUAGGGGUUCUGAGAGGAAGGUCCCCCACACUGGUACUGAGACACGGACCAG